UGUGUACCUUGUUAGAGUUUGGAGAUUAGGCCACUGAUGGCUGAUGCACUCACUAGUGUAGGUAGUCUGCUGCAUGAGAGGCAAGUUUUCCCUAAUAUCACAAGGGUCUCUGGCCCAAUGAGUGGAGUUUUAUAGUAAUCCUUGAUACAAGU
ensembl:snoRNA SNORA62 Small nucleolar RNA SNORA62/SNORA6 family